rnacentral:rRNA from 1 species
CUUCCCAUCCCGAACAGAGAAGUUAAGCCCAUUAGCGCCGAUGGUACUGCCAAGUGGUGGGAGAGUAGGUCGAUGCCAACU